AUUGAACGCUGGCGGCAUGCCUUACACAUGCAAGUCGAACGGUAACAGGUCUUCGGAUGCUGACGAGUGGCGAACGGGUGAGUAAUACAUCGGAACGUGCCUAGUAGUGGGGGAUAACUACUCGAAAGAGUGGCUAAUACCGCAUGAGAUCUACGGAUGAAAGCAGGGGAUCGCAAGACCUUGUGCUACUAGAGCGGCCGAUGGAAGAUUAGGUAGUUGGUGGGAUAAAAGCUUACCAAGCCGACGAUCUGUAGCUGGUCUGAGAGGACGAUCAGCCACACUGGGACUGAUACACGGCCCGGACUCCUACGGGAGGCAGCAGUGGGGAAUUUUGGACAAUGGGCGCAAGCCUGAUCCAGCAAUGCCGCGUGCAGGAUGAAGGCCUUCGGGUUGUAAACUGCUUUUGUACGGAACGAAAAGCCCUGGGUUAAUACCCUGGGGUCAUGACGGUACCGUAAGAAUAAGCACCGGCUAACUACGUGCCAGCCGCCGCCGUAA
rnacentral:rRNA from 1 species